GCCGCCCGUUUAGCUCAGUUGGUAGAGCAUGAGACUCAAUCUCUCAGGGUCGUGGGUUUGAACCCCACUCUGGGCGGCA